GCCAAAUUAAACACCAAUAUACUUAAUAGAUAUGUUUGACCAACUUAUAAAUCAAACUAAUCUCUUUGACAUUAAAAUCUUGAGGGAUAGUUAACAAAGCUUAAUAAAUGGAAAUUGAGUAACAUCAUUUUACUUUAUUUAAGUUUUUUACCAAACUCUUGUUACAUUAUUAAUUAUUUUUUACCCUUAAUAAUUAUUCCUUUAAAAUUUAUGGAGUAACAUUUAACUUUUAUUUUUUUAAUUUUUCGGUGGACAACUCUUAAUUUUUUAAUUUUGUACCAAACAUUAUCUUAGUAGGAUCAGAUUAAGACAUGAAUGAUGUUUCAGUUAAUUAGUUUGCUGGUGCUGGAAUUUCCUAGUAGUUUUCUAGCCCAAGCAAAGGAUCAAAAACUAAAGUUUAGCGGAAUAUCAACCUGCAACAUCAACCAUGACAUAUGGCACCUUAUAUAUAAAUGAGGGACAACGACUAAAGAGAUGUAUAAACAAAUCCAUCCCACAACUUAGAAGGGGUUACCUGUGAAGCAGAAAGCUCUGCAAAAGAACAAUGGCAGAGGGCGCAGUAACUAUUCUGCUUGAAAAAUUUGUUCCCCUUUUCGAAAAUGAAGUACAGCUCUUGAGCGGCGGUCGAGAAGAUAUAGUGUUCGUGAGAGCAGAGUUGGAGCGGAUAAGAGCCUUCCUAAAGGUUGCAGAUUCACUGGAAGAGAGUGAUGAGGAAGUAAAAGUGUGGGUUAAACAAAUCAGAGAUGUUGCUCAUGACACUGAAGACGUUUUAGAUGAGUACAGAAUUCUACAAACACAUGAUCAUGGCAAUGGGCUCUUUGGUUUUCUACAUAAGAUGUCUUGUUGCAUUAAGAACAUGAAGGCUCAUUAUCGAAUAGCAUCAGAAAUACGAGAGAUCAAAUCAAGAAUCAAAAAUAUUUCUGCUGGACAUCGAAUACUCCACCAGAAGUUCUGUGUAGCCGGACAAGGUGCAAACUCCACCUGUGCAGGCAACGAAUGGCAAGACCAGAGAGGGGAUGCCCUUCUUCUAGACAGAACUGAUCUAGUGGGCAUUGAUAAGCCCACAAAGAAGCUGGUUGGUUGGCUGGUUAAUGAAGGUACAGGGCGUGAAGUAGUUUCACUUGCAGGGAUGGGAGGAUUGGGGAAAACCACCUUGGCGAAACAAGUCUAUGAUGAUUCAGAAGUAAAGAAACAUUUCAGCAUGCAUGCCUGGAUAACAGUGUCUAGAUCUUACAAGAUGGAAGAACUCCUUAAAGACAUUGUUCAACAACUCUUCAGUGCAGAUAGGAAGCCAGUUCCCAGAGAAGCAGACAACAUGAACAGCAAUCAGCUGAAAACAAUAAUUAAGGAGCUGCUUCAGAACAGAAGGUACCUAAUUGUUUUGGAUGAUGUAUGGCAUAUAAAUGAGUGGGAUGCCGUCAAAUAUGCCUUGCCCACCAACAACUGUGGCAGCCGAGUCAUUCUCACUACACGCAAUGCUGAUCUUGCCUUCACCUCACGCAUAGAAUAUGAAGGUAAGGUCUAUUACUUGGAGCCAUUGCCUCCAGAAGAGUCUUGGACUCUUUUCUGCAGGAAGACAUUCCAAGGGAACUUAUGUCCUCAUCAUUUGGAGGAUAUUUGCAAAAGCAUACUCAGAAAAUGUGAGGGACUUCCCCUUGCAAUUGUGGCAGUUAGUGGAAUUCUUGCUACCAAAGACAUGCGAAGGAUAGAUGAAUGGGAAAUGGUUCGACGUAGCCUUGGUGCUGAAAUUGAAGGCAAUGAUAAACUUAAGAAUUUAAAGAAGGUACUUUCACUCAGUUUCAAUGAUCUGCCAUACUAUCUCAAGUCUUGUUUCUUAUACUUGAGCAUCUUUCCUGAGGAUCAUCCAAUUGAGCAUAUGAGACUCAUUAGAUUGUGGGUUGCAGAAGGAUUUGUGGAAGCAAAAUAUGGAAAAGAAUUAGAAGAUGUUGCAGGGGACUAUCUCAAUGAACUCUUAAAUAGAAGCCUGCUACAAGUAGCAGAAACAACCAGCGAUGGACGGAUCAAAACAUGUCGAACUCAUGAUCUUCUACGAGAGAUUGUCAUCUCAAAGUCAAGAGAGCAAAAUUUUGCAGUUAUAGCCAAGGAACAUAACGUUACAUGGCCAGAUAGACUUCGGCGUCUAUCAAUUCACAACACAUUACAAAAUGUGCAACAGAACAGGUGUGUUUCUCAGUUACGUUCAUUAUUCAUGUUUGGCAUAGCAGAGAAGUCACCCAUAACUGGCCUGUUUCCCAGUGGCUUUAGGUUGCUUAAUGUGUUAGAUUUGCAAGGUUCAAAUCUAAACAAGUUCCCAAUUCAGGUUAUCAACCUAUACUACCUAAAGUAUCUAAGCUUGAAAAGUACAAAGGUAGCUACAAUUCCAUCCUAUAUAGGGAAGCUUCAACACCUAGAGACCUUAGAUCUGAAACACGCCCAUGUCACUGAAUUGCCUGUGGAGAUCCUGAAGCUACGAAAACUUCGCCAUCUUCUUGUGUAUCGUUAUGAGUACGAGUCUUAUGCACAUUUCCACUCCAAGCAUGGAUUCAAGGCUCUGGAAAAAAUAGGUGUUUUGCGGUCACUGCAGAAGCUAUGCUUAAUAGAAGCAAACCUAGGAAAUGGCAAUAUAAUGAAGGAACUCAGGAAGCUAACCCAACUGAGAAGGUUAGGUGUAGUAAAGUUGAGAAAGGAAGACGGGAAGACUCUGUGCUCAUCUAUUGAAAAUCUCAGCAACCUUCGUGCAUUAUCCCUACUUUCUGUGGAAGACGAGAUACUUGAUCUUCAGCACCUAUUUUCUCCUCCACAAUUACUUCAGCGGCUUUACUUGACAGGACGUUUAGAGACACUACCACACUGGAUACCUAAUCUUGCAAGCCUGGUUAGACUGCAUUUGAAAUGGAGCCGCUUGCAGGAUGAUCCACUUGAAUCUCUUCAAAUUCUUCCAAAUCUUGUACAUCUUGAAUUACUCCAAAUGUAUGAAGGAGACACACUGUGUUUCAAGGCUGGUGGGUUUAAGAAGCUGAAGCUCUUAGGCAUUGAUAAAUUCGAUGAACUAAAAUGCAUACAAGUGGAGGCAGGAUCAAUGCCCAUAGUGGAGAAGUUGUGCAUUCAGCGCUGUAAGUUUUUGCAUAAGGUACCCUUGGGCAUUGAAUAUCUGACAAAGCUCAAAGUGCUUGAAUUCUUUGAUAUGCCUCAUGAAUUAAUCAAGACACUUCAUUCUGAUGAAAAAGAGGGAGAUUAUUGGAGAGUUGCACACAUCCCAGAAGUGUAUUCUACCUACUGGAGAGAUGGGGGAUGGGAAGUCUAUUCUUUGGAAAGUUUCAAUGAUGCUUACAGGCCAAGUCCUGUCACAAGGAACCAGGAGCUUUAUACUCGCUGGAAAUAGCAUUUUUCUUGCAUGUUGGUUUCAUUAUCUGUGGAUAAAAUUUGUAAAUAAGAUUGGUAAAUUUAUAUGAUUGUAAAUAGCUAGUGUUUUAAUGCUAAGCUUCAUUAUAGAUGAUCAAGAAAAUGAUGUUUGGUGUUGUAUAAAUAGGACUAUGGUAGCCCAAACAGUAUGUCUAGUAGUCUCCAAUGACAACAUACUAAAGACAUGAACUUCAUCAAAUAUGACAUGCAGUAG
rnacentral:misc_RNA from 1 species